CCCACCCAGCGCUUACUCGCGGUCGGCCAGUCCCCGUUCCGUCCCGCCCCGGCGACUCCACCACCCGCCCCUCUCGCCUCACCUUCCCUGCACGCACGCCCGCCCUCCCGCCCCAGCAGUUGACCCGCGCGACGCGCCGCUCGUCAGAUCAGAUGGACCAUGCCAAGGAGCCGUCUCCCACGCGGGCGUGGUGGUCGAGGGACACGGUGGCCGUGGUGACGGGCGCCAACCGGGGCAUCGGCCACUCGCUGGCCGCGCGGCUCGCGGAGCACGGCCUCACCGUCGUGCUCACCGCGCGGGACGGCGAGCGCGGGGAGGCCGCCGCCGCGCCGCUCCGCGACCGCGGGCUCCCCGUCGUCUUCCGCCGCCUCGACGUCUCCGACCCCGCCUCCGUCGCCGACUUCGCCGCCUGGCUCCGCGAAACCGUCGGCGGCCUCGACAUCCUGGUGAACAAUGCCGCCGUGUCGUUCAACGAGAUCGACACCAACUCGGUGGAGCACGCGGAGACGGUCCUCAACACCAACUUCUACGGGACCAAGCUGCUGACCGAGGCGCUUCUGCCCCUCUUCCGGCGAUCGCCGGCCACCAGCCGGAUCCUCAACAUCAGCUCUCAGCUUGGCCUUCUUAACAAGGUGCGCAACCCGUCGCUGAGGAGGCUGCUCCUGGACGAGGAGGCCCUGACGGAGGGCAAGAUCGAGGCGAUGGUGUCGCAGUUCCUGGCGCAGGUCAAGGACGGGACGUGGGGUGAGCACGGGUGGCCCAAGGUGUGGACGGACUACGCCGUCUCCAAGCUGGCCCUCAACGCCUACACCCGCGUCCUGGCGCAGCGGCUGCAGUCCGGCGGCGAGCGCGUCAGGGUCAACUGCUUCUGCCCCGGGUUCACGCGGACCGACAUGACCAAGGGGUGGGGCAAGCGCACCGCCGAGGAGGUGGCCGACUUCGGCGCCCGGCUCGCGCUGCUCCCGCCCGGCGAGCUCCCCACCGGCACCUUCUUCAAGUGGCGCACGCCGCAGCUCUACUCCAAGCUCUGAGACACGUAUCCGAUGGUGUUCGUCUGUACGUCCCGUGCGUGGUCGAUGGUUGCUCGAAUUCUAGGCGCCUGCUGUACGUCCGUGGUGGAGUAAAUAUCUCGUUUCAGUUUAGCCAUCGUUGCUGCUAGUUCGCUGCUCCUACCUAAGUGUACAAUAGCUGAUAAAUCAGUGGUGUUCCACUCGUCCCAUUGCUCUGGAUCUUCACGCGGUAUGGAUUCAAGUAGCAUCUCAUUGCUUAGCCGCCACCGAGAUUGUAGAGCACAGUGUGAGCCAGUAUGGUGCUAUCUUCCGGGAAAUCAAGCAGAAGCACCGGCACUGUUUGUGUGACAAUGUCCCCUCUUAGCCAGAUGGAGCAUAAUUUGGAUGAUCAUCUCAUAGCAGGGGACUUGCCUUGGCCAGAAGUAGGGCAUCAUGUUCGCUUCCUUGCUCCCUCGGAGAUCGCUUGUAUUCCAUUUGACAUUGAUUAAUAAGGGUCAAAGUUUCGAUGUUGUACUGAUCGUUAUGUUUGUGUUCGUGCUGGCUGAGCAAUACAGUUUAUGCAUGAUGUAGAUCAAGCC
rnacentral:rRNA from 1 species